rnacentral:rRNA from 1 species
GACAGAGGUGCCGAGCGUUAGGCGGAAUCACUGGGCUUAAAGCGUGUGUAGGCGGGCGGGCAAGUACCUUGUGAAAUCCCACGGCUCAACCGUGGAACGGCUGGGUAUACUGCCUGUCUUGAGCCAACUAGGGGCGAGCGGAACAGACGGUGGAGCGGUGAAAUGCGUAGAUAUCGGAAGGAACGCCGGUGGCGAAAGCGACGUGCUGGACCCUUUCUGACGCUGAGGCGCGAAAGCCAGGGGAGCAAACGGG